rnacentral:lncRNA from 1 species
GUGUACCUCCAUGAAUGACGCCCCCAAGAGGGAAACGACACCAGAGCAUCGCCAUCAUCCGAUCUACUGAUCUAGGGUUUCCCCCGGAGGUAGCAAAGAGUGGCCUUGAACUUCUCCUCGGCGAUGCCUUCAGGAAGGAAACGACGUAGACAACGACGCCAUCGCCGGCUUUGGCAGUAGCCGAAAGCAAGCUUUUACCCAGAUCUGUUCGAAGAACCCAUCUCUCCUGCACGGGCCACCACAUCCUGCGACGUCCGCGGGAGUGGGAUCC